GACGAACGCUGGCGGCGUGCUUAACACAUGCAAGUCGAACGGAAAGGCCCUGCUUUUGUGGGGUGCUCGAGUGGCGAACAGGUGAGUAACACGUGAGUAACCUGCCCUUGACUUUGGGAUAACUUCAGGAAACUGGGGCUAAUACCGGAGAGGAGCUCCUGCUGCAUGGUGUGGGUUGGAAAGUUUCGGCGGUUGGGGAUGGACUCGCGGCUUAUCAGCUUGUUGGUGGGGUAGUGGCUUACCAAGGCUUUGACGGGUAGCCGGCCUGAGAGGGUGACCGGCCACAUUGGGACUGAGAUACGGCCCAGACUGAUACGGGAGGCAGCAGUGGGGAAUAUUGCACAAUGGGCGGAAGCCUGAUGCAGCAACGCCGCGUGCGGGAUGACGGCCUUCGGGUUGUAAACCGCUUUCGCCUGUGACGAAGAGUGAGUGACGGUAAUGGGUAAAGAAGCACCGGCUAACUACGUG
rnacentral:rRNA from 1 species